rnacentral:rRNA from 1 species
GAAAACAGCGGCCCGUACCGCAAACCGACACAGGUAGUCGAGGAGAGAAUCCUAAGGUGAGCGAGAGAACUCUCGUUAAGGAACUCGGCAAAAUGACCCCGUAACUUCGGGAGAAGGGGUGCUGAUCAUACGAUCAGCCGCAGUGAAUAGGCCCAAGCGACUGUUUAUCAAAAACACAGGUCUCUGCAAAAUCGUAAGAUGAAGUAUAGGGGCUGACGCCUGCCCGGUGCUGGAAGGUUAAGAGGAGUGCUUAGCGCA